rnacentral:rRNA from 1 species
GACGAACGCUGGCGGCGUGCCUAAUACAUGCAAGUUGAGCGCUGAAGGUUGGUACUUGUACCAACUGGAUGAGCAGCGAACGGGUGAGUAACGCGUGGGGAAUCUGCCUUUGAGCGGGGGACAACAUUUGGAAACGAAUGCUAAUACCGCAUAAAAACUUUAAACACAAGUUUUAAGUUUGAAAGAUGCAAUUGCAGCACUCAAAGAUGAUCCCGCGUUGUAUUAGCUAGUUGGUGAGGUAAAGGCUCACCAAGGCGAUGAUACAUAGCCGACCUGAGAGGGUGAUCGGCCACAUUGGGACUGAGACACGGCCCAAACUCCUGCGGGAGGCAGCAGUAGGGAAUCUUCGGCAAUGGACGAAAGUCUGACCGAGCAACGCCGCGUGAGUGAAGAAGGUUUUCGGAUCGUAAAACUCUGUUGGUAGAGAAGAACGUUGGUGAGAGUGGAAAGCUCAUCAAGUGACGGUAACUACCCAGAAAGGGACGGCUAACUACGUG